GCGGGGAUAGCCAAGCGGUCAAAGGCGUAUGGUUCAGGCCCAUAUUCUUAGUGAUUCGGGAGUUCAAAUCUCCCUCCCCGCACCA
rnacentral:tRNA from 1 species